CAUGUCUCUGGUGGAUUAGAACACAACCCUUUGUUUUAACUAAGAUACUACAGGAUAUUAUCGAAUAACGUUUCUAAAAGGGAAAACGGGCCUCUUAAUUACAUAGUGAAAAAAGAGGUAAUAUAUACAUGAAGUACAUUGCAUGAAGGUACUAUAGUUUAUUUUAAUUUGAAUUUGAGUCAAUAAACAUAAAAUACAUGAUUUGAGCUUUUUAGACCUGAACAAUUUCCUGUGCCGCUUUUUUCCGCUAGUCGCAAAAAACAACACUGUUUUCAAUGAGUGUAAACUAAUCCGCUUAGUAUUAAUUCUUCAUUGUUUGCGAGCGCUGGUCAUUUCUGUCCGUGACUGCCAUUCGUGUAACUCUGUUAGGCAUCGUAUGGUUGCCAUGGUGACCACGCUCCUCAAAGUCUGUACAAGGUCUCGGAAUUACUCAUAACACUCUGCUGUCGACUAGCGAGACACAGGACCGCCAUUUGUCGUAGGAUUUCUGCGAAAUCUGUUCAACAAUCAACGAUGGAGUACAUACCCGACUUGAGUGAAAUCCAGAGUGACUUUUUAGCAAAGCAGGUUGCCGAUGCCCCGUCAAUUUCGAUAUGUCAUUUUAUGCGAUCAUCGUUGGAGGCCGAAGGGGACGCGCGUACUAUAGAGAAAAAGAUCGUUUCGGCGCGGUGUCGGCGUUAUUUUCGGCCCCUAUUCCUACGCCUUCUGCCGAGAGCCAAAGCCCCGACGAUGAUGGCCGCCGACGAUCUCCUCUUCUCUCUCUCUCUCUCCCUCUCUCUCUACCACUGAUCUCGGCGUACCCUUUAUAAUGUUCUGCGCUCAUAUUUGUCUCUUUUCGAACCCUCCAAGUAAAUCUGUUUCCCUGACCCACAAACAGCCGCAGCCACAGAAACCACAUAAUGGCACUAGCGGCAAUUGACGUAGCAGCAGGACGGGGAGUAGUAGUUCAUUGAGAAAGAGAACGAUGCCUGUCAGACUUCCUUGAAGGGUAGUUGCAGGGAUAUUUGAUUACAUCGAGGUUCGAUAAACGCACCGAAUAAUCGAAGAACAAAGAAAUAGCUGGCAGGCCGAUCUCGAGUCGACGAAUAUUUUUUGUUCGUUUUCGCCCCUAUUCAUCGCUUCUCUGCGUUUUAUAUUGGCUUUUCGAGAGGACGACGCAGUGGCGCCUCGUAGACAAGCAAUGACCCCAUCCGCCGGAGCCAUCAAGUGACUGCCGUUAUUGCGGCAGCUGGGCAUGACACCAGCCCGCGGAGAUCGUUUCUACAAGAAUCAUCUACACAAUAACAACGCAGAUCAAUUUAGAAAUAGCGAUGACAUCUACAAUGACGAACAGCAUAAUAACGGAACAACAACUAAUCACACGACUGGGCUACGAUAACAACGCGAACAAGAUGAACAUAGGCACCAAUUUUACAACAGGACAAAAAUAAGCAUAGGAGAGAGAGAGUAGGGAAAAGAUAUGAUUUCCAGAUCACGGUUAAAGCUUUGGUACGAAAGAGGCUUUGGUGUUGGCGAUGUUUUUGUUAAACAACGUCUUCUGGUUACCCUGCGUUAGCACAAUGUCAUAGCAGAAGGCAGGCAGAUCCCGUUCUAUUGCUUCAUAGGGUUCGAUCAUAUUCUACAUGCAACAGCUUCCUGUAGUGGUCAGCUUCCUCUACCAGAGUGAAAUGCUCCUUAUGGCUGGAAUGAACAUCGAGGCUGGCCUUCUAGUUCGUUGCCUGGAGGCGGUUAAUGCCUUGGCCGAAAAUGACCAUCCAUGGAACUACCAAAAUCUACACCAGGUCAUCAAAGCGCACCUACACUCGGAUUGAGCUGCUUAGUGUUCGUUUGCUUCUAGCAAAGGCCUCACUCACAUCUUUUCCUUUAAAGGAACCAGCAGAGGACGGGUAGUUGCGAAUUAAAUAUUUACCUUCAUGAUCGUUAUUUCCUCACCAGAAGACAAUACGACAUGGGAAUUUAGAAUCUGAGUAAUAAAAUCGAGACACUGAAAUAUACUCAAAUAUUAUGUUCCAAGGUUCAUUAUUUUCGUCUGAAACUAGCCUAGAUGAGAACAGAUGCUUCGACUCUGUAGUAUGGACAAAGGUCGCUUAAAAAACCGUAAUUGACUUACCACUCCUAUAUAUUAUCUCCUCUCAACGCUUUGAAGUAUCAGGAGAGGGGAUUUCAAUUAACAACCUUCACCGCGUUUUUUUUAUAAAUUUUUUCUACCACCACAGAUCUUUUAUAAACGAGCGAAUAUAAAACGUAUACUGGGGAUAAUAACUCUGAGGGUCAGGUAGUAGUAGAUUCAUUUACAUAAAGCGAAAAGCAUAUUCAUUUGCUCGCUUCUUUUUCAACACGAAGCACCCACUUCGACGAAUCAAACGUUCAAGUUUAUCUGAAUCUCCAAUUUUAGUUCCCCUCUCAAUCUGAACGUUUAGUUCAAUUCAGGAUUCUCUCCACCUUCUUGUUCGUCGUGAAAGAGUUUCGGAUCUAGUAAGGACAACCUACAUAGUCCGUCCAUUCAAUUUGUCGUAGGUUCGUAAUUUGUUAUAGUUCACAGCCGUCUGCGGCAAUUAAUCGCGUAAAUUGAAGUGGUCACAGACGCGGCGAGCAGUCUGGAGCACCUAUCGACUAACGUAAAAUAGCAGUACAAGCAUAAAAAUUACUGUUUAAAGAUUUAGGGUUACAGGUAUCAAUACCUAUAACAGACGCAUAGAUAGAAUUAUUUGGCUAAUUAAUGGAUGUCUGAUUCGCGAACUCGUCGGAUUUAGAUAGCUCGAGUUUGUGUUUCGAGAUGAUAAAAUGAGCCGGGGCGUCAUCUGUGCAGUCAGGGCAGCGUCGUUGAGGGGAAGCGAGAUGCCUCUAGCAGACAUCAAUUGCAGCGAAUAUACAGCUGCCAACGGAAGGCGAGUGAGACGAUAUUGGGGUACGUUAUCCGUUCUUCUUGUGAAAAGCUCAUGUGUACUAGCUAUAGUGUAUACAUAUGUGUACAAGAAAAAAUUAAUCACAGAUAUCACAUACAUGGACAAAAUACAGAGAUAUACCGACAACAAGCAAAUAUAGACUUAAUGGGUACAAAUGGGUACAAAGGGUCAUUAAUAAAAAAAAAAACAGGGUUGUUUCCAUUUUUUUUGUACAGACUUGAAAGGCUGCAAGAAAAAUGGACAAGAUCAAAGAAAUUCAAAAUCCCGUUCAGAUACACGAUUAGUGUAGUAAUCGUACAUAAUAAAGUGCUGAAAUAAAAAUUGCGGCAAAUACAAGGAGAGAGUUUACCCAAGACUUAGGAAUCAAUGCAUAAAAACGGUGCAAAGUAAAACAAAAAUAUUUGUUGUAUUUUAUACAACAAAUAUUUUUGUUUUAAAGUAGAUAUUUAUGUUUUGCGUUAGGUUGGCUUCCCUCUGAGUUGCUGUUAGGACCUCAAUAUGUCGAAUUUUACAUCCGACACCGCCGUUAAGCGUUGUAUCAGACAGCUCCUGUAUCCGCCGAGGCAAAACAAAGUGUCUUUGCCCAUAUUCAAGCCAUACUCUAACCUCUUAGGGACACCAGAUGUCUCUAAGGAAGCAAACGUGUUAACUUGUAAACUAUCAUGAAGAUUGAUGUUCGAAGGUGAUUGAUAAUACUUAGGGUAACAUUAGUUUGUUACAUUCGUUCUAGUUUCUGUCCUUACCACUGACUGGUCCAGAUUACCUAUACCUCGGCAUUAAGUUAUCAUUCAAGAUAAUUGACUACUAUCUUUAAAUUUUGUUAUAAUCAGCUUCAAUAUAUCAAUAGAGUUCGCUUCACCGAUGACGAAUGUAUGCAUGUUCAUUAAAAACGAAAAUCUACGCACCAUAGCUAAGGCAUGCAGUUCCUAACGUGCAAUUCCAUACUGCAUUGCGGUAAAAACGAUGUGUAUUUUACGCAAGUAGGUUUCCAACAUGGGCUCGCAGGAACGCGUAAACAGUAUUUCCAACAUAACUUGAAACCGUAUAUGCGAAUCAAUAAUAGGAAGCAAACAAAUGACGAGGACGACUAUGUAUCAUACCUAAGAAAGCUAUUGGA